CAGGGGGUGUCGGGCCUGGCUAUGGCAGCAUCGCUGGUGGAGGCUAUUCAGGAUAUACAGGGGCCGGACAAAAAUCCAAAGCACAGAAGGCAGCCAAAUAUGCAGCCAUGCAGGCCAUACUAGGAGGCGGGGGAUACAGAGGUGCUGGCUGUCAGGGUAAAUACUGUGGCCGAAGGAGGAAGUGAGAGACCAACAAACAGGAAGUGACCUCAUUAAAACAACAGUGGUGCUAUCGAAUGAUCCCAGAUUGUAAAUGUCUUACCUGCCAUAGAAGCUAAAGCCUCAACACAUUCCACAUAUUAAUUUCACACAAUCAUUUCUUUCAAAAAGAGCAGUGGUUCUGGGCCUGUUAGAGAUGAUUCCUUAAAACAAGGUGAUGCCUCUGUUGCAGUCUGAUACACAGAGUGGUAAAAUAUAUCCUUGUCAUGUUGUUUUAUGGAUAAUUCGGUGACGUGACUUUGGUUAAAUGAAAAUAUUCACCGUUUUACAAGAAAAGCGCGUUAGAUUAAGACAACAUGGGGAAACAUUUGUUAAAAUAACAUUUUCACCCCUGAAUCUCCCUGUGAUCCUGACUACCAGGCUGAGAAUCACUGAAAUAUAGAUUUAAGAGGUCUUUUUAAAUUGUGAGGCCAAGCUGUACUAUAAUACACUUUUUUGUUUAUUUCUGUUGUUGUGUUCCUGUGCAAGUAUCACCAUGAAUCCUCUGGGUGAAGACUGAUACCAAGGACACCCUCAGGGCAGCUCCUUCAGACCUGUCUGCAUGCUGACACAAUGUUUGUUUGUUUUUUUUACUCUCAAAGGCCACAUUUUAAUCCAGUCCAUUGGAUUAUACCUUAGGUCUGCAGAGUGUAAUGUUUGUUUUAUUAAUCUACUGUUUUAUUAAUUACUGUUUUAUUUUAUUAAUUUAGCUUUUACAUCAGUGCAAACAGUUGGAUAUUAUGUCCAGCAAUCUGUACAGACAACGAAGCACACGAAUGCUAUUCUGGGGGAACCGCAGACAAAAGGAACUCCAAGUGGAAUUUUUUUGAUGGUGUGGUGUUUUGACUGGUCUUUAUCUGGUCCUCGAGAAGCAGCCUUUGCUCAUUUAAACUGUGCUCAGGUCUCAGCAGUAUCAACAAAUGGAGGCUGAAGGUCCACAGCUGUGAGAUUCUUCCAUUCCAUUCACAACAUUAUAGGCACUGUCUUACAGCUGCAACACAGUAAUUGGUAUUGGUGUGAACUUUUGGUUAACAUGCUUAUUUUUUCAUUACCAGAAUGAUGUAUUGUUAUGAUAUUAUGGUGUGGCUUAGGUUUGGCUUUUACAUUUGCUGUUGUGGAAAGCAUUCAAACUAAAUGUGAGGUAAUAUGAAUACAUGAUAGUGCUUUUAAAUGACAUCUGAGGAGCAUUGAUUACUGUGUUUUUCUUUUUUUUGGAUGUACCUCCUUUAACACUGUAGGAAAUUUGUUCACGAUUGCUAGUCUUUUUAAAUUAUGCUGACAAAAAGCAGAAAAAGCUCAACUAUUUAUCCUCAGUCUCAUUUUAUGAAUUCAAGUGCAUUAACGCAGCAUUAAAUAUUUGAGUUAUUUUGUUUGUGUUUGAGUUUUAACAGUUUUUAAACUUGUGUACUACUAUGCUAAAGAUAAGUGUUUUGUUUUCUACAUUGUCCUUGCAUGUGUGCAGAAUCACAGUGUAAUCUGCGAUGUCAUUUGGAUAAAAAAUGUAAAAAAUGAGUUUCAUCUUGCAUCUGAGCUUAUGCUUCUGUCUCUAUUGAGCAGUUUAACAUGUGCUUUAUGUGGCCUAUCAAGAAAAUGAUGCACUUUUGUACACUUUCAGACAUUGCUCUUUAAAAUUAAAAAAUGAC